AGCACAAAUUCUGGAGCGGUACUUUAGGAUAUUAAAGUCUUGAUACCUGACUGAAACGUUUUCUUUAAACAAACAAACCCUCAGCAGUCCCUGUAUGGGAAAGAUAAACAGAAGCUGCAGAAAUAACCUUUUGCGGGAUAAAUGGUCAGUGGCCACAUGAAUGCCAAUGUACAGCCUGUGCAAAGUGCUCUUUUUUAUCGGGUUCCCUCUGCCAACAAAUGGUGAAGAUGCAGGAGCUUACCCGGAGACAUGCGCCUGGAACUGACCUCUCUGCAGCUAGAGGGUGAUUUACCAUUGGAACAAACCAGAAAGGGAAGUAAUGGAUUCUCCAUCUUGUGAGGUCUUGAAUUGAAGACUGGAUGUCAUUCUGAAAGCUCCUCCAGAUUUACCAUGUCUAUAGAUGAUGGUGUCAACUGCGCAGAGAUAAAACUGAGUUCUGAGAAAGUAAAAUCAUUUGAUAUAUGAUAUCAUAAUAAAUAUAGAAGAGAACAUAAAUAUAAAAUGGAUAAAAUUUACUAGGAACUGGUUUCUUGCAGGCAGACCCUCACAUCUGCACAAAGUCCCACUGAAGUCAGUGGAGCUUGGUCCAGCCACACGAUUGCAGGAGUGGGGCGAUACAUAUCUGACGGCAUAAAUAAGCAUUAUAACUCCCUGGUGAGGGAAAUUCCACUGAGAGCUAACAUCUCAUUUCCAAGGUGUCCCCUGGGAUAAAUCAGAAGGGAUAGGACUGAAAGUGAAGGCAUAGAAUACGAAAGAAAAAGAAGGUAAGAAAAUAAUCAAGAAAACCAAGAUUGAAAAUGAAA